rnacentral:lncRNA from 1 species
CGCCCCUCUUGCGCUGGAGCUGCCGCAGCGCCCCUGCCGGCGGAGCUGGCGCAGACCGAGGGACCCACCGCGCAGUGCUCAGAACCUGGGCUUUGGUUUUGACUGUUUACCCUUGAGCUGAAAUGCGGCAGUCAAGCUCCAUGUCUAUUGGUAGCGAGUGAUUCCUUGUUAAAGACAGGAGAAAGGAUUUCUCUAUGAUAAAUACAGGACUUACUGAAAAUUGAACUAGUCAAAGCCGGGUGUGGCAGUGCGCACCUGCAAUCCCACCACUCCAGGAGGCUGAGGCAGGAGGACCACAAGCGUGAAGCCCGGCUUUCAUUGGGAAACUUCGCGACUUACUGAGACCCGCUCUCGGAUUUCUUUAAAAAGGCAAAAGGGUGGGGGAUGUAGCUCAGUGCAAAGGGUCUGGGUUCAAACCCGCUACCAAAGCAAGAGACUUCAUCUUCCCAGGAAGAGGGAGACAAACUUCAUCUUGCAUCUCUGCCAAGUGUUAGGUCAUCUCGGUGCUCAGCGAGGCUGUGGCGCCGGAGUCGGGUUGCUGGGUCUCCCUGGAGAAUCUUCCGGGCCCGGGUCGGCGCAGGCUAACUGGGAAGCCAGCCCCGCGGCCCCGAGGCCACCACCACCCUGCUGUGGACACGGGACUGUUCAGCUCAGCGGAGUGGGAUCUCGCAGGAGCAUUCGGGAGCCAUGGGCGGGCUAACUGGAAGUACAGUGGACCCUUGACUUAGGGACGUGAUCAGUUCCGGAGGGCUGGUUGUAACUCAAGUUGGUGGCUAGGGUCAGUAGUAUCAAGCUCGGCAUGAAUUACCAAGCCCUGAAAGUGAGACUAUAAUGGAAACUGCAAUUGAAGCACGCAGCGACAGCACUGCGGAUGGAAAGCUAUGAUACAGCCAUGGUCACCCCUCAUUCCCAGGACAGUGUGGCACAGUGGCUGAUGCUGGUGCCGAAGUCAGAGGAUCAGAGCUUCAGGCUGGGACAUAUCUGGAUCCUGCUGCAGCAAAUAUUCACAGUAUUUCUACAGACAGCCAGGACAGAGCUUUGAACAGGCGGUUCACCGAAUCCAGCAGUGUGCUGGUCCUGGCUUACCAACCAGCUGCUUGGGAAAGAGCAGAAGUCCUCAGUUACAGAACCUGGUGAGGAGAACAUGCAGGAGGCACCACCAAGUGGCAGAGGCAGGCGGCUUGCAAGACACACGGCUUUCAUCCUGAGAACAACGGAACUACUGAAGGAACUUAGCGAAGAAGGGAUGGGCAGGGGUGACAGUGGGACUUAUCCAUGUGGCUUUUGGCUUAGAGACGCAGGACAGGUGGCAGCUCUGUCCUGAAAUGGGAGCAGGAGACGCAGACUAAGCUGCAAUUGGGAGUAGGCACUGAGGGGAGGGCCGAGGCUCAGGGGUUUGGAUUCAACUCCUCAGUGUAAAGUUGACAACCGGUGAGGUUGUACAGGAGACAGGGACACAGAGGAGCUCAGACUGUGAAAGGACAGGCAGAGAAAAGCCCUGGCCCGCCCCCAAAAUGGUCAGAGAGGUAGCUGGAAAAUCAGAAAUAGACGACAUAUUAAAACUUGUAGCAGGCUGGGGAUGUAGCCUGGUGGUAAAGCAUGCAUGAAGCCCUGGAUUACACACACACACACACACACACACACACACACAUAACUUGCUCACUGCUCCCACACAUGCUCAUUGCUUGGGUCCUGUUAUUAGAAAUAAGUUUACUUAUG